UACGUAGGGUGCGAGCGUUGUCCGGAAUUAUUGGGCGUAAAGGGCUCGUAGGCGGUUUGUCGCGUCGGGAGUGAAAACCCAGGGCUUAACCCUGGGCUGGCUUUCGAUACGGGCAGACUAGAGGUAUGCAGGGGAGAACGGAAUUCCUGGUGUAGUGGUGAAAUGCGCAGAUAUCAGGAGGAACACCGGUGGCGAAGGCGGUUCUCUGGGCAUUACCUGACGCUGAGGAGCGAAAGUGUGGGGAGCGAACAGG
rnacentral:rRNA from 1 species